AUUUUUUCAUUGGAUGAGCCUAAUAAGGGUGUGGCCUAACCAACAUGGUUUGUGGGGAAAGAAAGGGGAUUGAUUUAGGUGGCUCUACAGAAAGAAAUAAAAAGCCAAGAAAGAAUGUAAAAAAAUAGACAGUUCUUGCUAUGGAGCUAGGUUACUCUUUCACCCAUUAUGUACUCAAGUUUCUUAAGGCUACAUAAAUGGAAACUGAACAACAGAUGCAACAAUCUGUGGAAACUUGGAUGCACUGUAAAUCUACUGGGAUUAUAUCUGGGAAGACAAUGUUUGCAUUCAGGAUAAGGUACUUUCAACAUCACAAGACGUGCCAGACUGCAAGGGCACACUGAAGCCAGCGAUGGCCAAAUUAAACAGCGUCUGGCAAAGUAACGACUCAAGACAGGUCCGUUAUCUCUCAGUGAGUGCGGGAGGACGAGGCUCCACCUGUUUCCCUAAAUGAAUUCAUGAAUGCUGCAGGAGAAUGCUAAUGAGAGCGCCUGGCUGUCUUCCUGACACAACAAUGCUAUCCAAAGACAGCGGCCAUAUUUGUAAUUAACAGGAGCUAUAUGUGGUGUCAAACGAGAGACGACAGGGUGUUUGGCUUCUCACCGCUGAGAAAAGAGAAAGCUCCCUUGUUCCUUUGUUGCUUCGACCUCUUUUUUUUCUUUCCAUAAGGCUGAGGGAGCCUGCUGGGCCUGGCUUCUGUGGUUUCUUCUCCCCAGAUGAAAGACUCAAAGUGCACAUUAUCACAAACGUACACAUUUGCUUUGACAAACUACCCUUGCAGCUGUAUGCAGUGUUUAGAUGUUUUUCAUUUCUGAGAUGCAUUCUGGAAGUGAAUGGCUCUGGUCAUGUGACAAAUUGCAUCAUCCAUCCAUCCAUCCAUCCAGUUUUAAUAUCACUUAUUCUACACAGACGAGCCUGGAGCCUAUCCCUUGGAUCUCAGGGCACAAGGUGGAGGACACUGGAGUACCUGGAGGAAACCCCAAAAGAAUGGGGAGAACAUAUAAAUUCCAUGCACCAAGGCUGGAGGCGGGAAUCAAACCCCCAACCCUUGAGAACAAACCACAAAGUGUUUGGAAGAGCUGUCAGAUGGUGCUGUAGCUGAAUUCUGGAAAACAACCAAAAACUGUUUUUUGUUUCCCUGCCAAUAUCAUGUUUUAUGGAUAAUUUAGGAAAACGUAAAUAUAUUUUACCAUGGAAAUGUUUUUAUUUCGGAGCAUUUGGCUGUUUCCCUGAAAAGGCUGUUUUGUGAAAGGAGCCAGUUUAACAAAUUCAGAGGUAUGUAAAUACAUCAGCCUAAAGAUGUCUAAAACCUUGUCACAAUUUGAUCAAGUUGUUGGAUAGUUUUGUAGCGAAACGGACAUAAGCC
ensembl:lncRNA